rnacentral:rRNA from 1 species
GAGGUGCUUGCACCUCUUGAGAGCGGCGGACGGGUGAGUAAUGCCUAGGAAUCUGCCUGGUAGUGGGGGAUAACGCUCGGAAACGGACGCUAAUACCGCAUACGUCCUACGGGAGAAAGCAGGGGACCUUCGGGCCUUGCGCUAUCAGAUGAGCCUAGGUCGGAUUAGCUAGUUGGUGGGGUAAUGGCUCACCAAGGCGACGAUCCGUAACUGGUCUGAGAGGAUGAUCAGUCACACUGGAACUGAGACACGGUCCAGACUCCUACGGGAGGCAGCAGUGGGGAAUAUUGGACAAUGGGCGAAAGCCUGAUCCAGCCAUGCCGCGUGUGUGAAGAAGGUCUUCGGAUUGUAAAGCACUUUAAGUUGGGAGGAAGGGCAUUAACCUAAUACGUUGGUGUCUUGACGUUACCGACAGAAUAAGCACCGGCUAACUCUGUGCCAGCAGCCGCGGUAAUACAGAGGGUGCAAGCGUUAAUCGGAAUUACUGGGCGUAAAGCGCGCGUAGGUGGUUCGUUAAGUUGGAUGUGAAAUCCCCGGGCUCAACCUGGGAACUGCAUUCAAAACUGUCGAGCUAGAGUAUGGUAGAGGGUGGUGGAAUUU